rnacentral:rRNA from 1 species
UGAGGAAUAUUGGUCAAUGGGCGAGAGCCUGAACCAGCCAAGUCGCGUGAAGGAAGAAGGAUCUAUGGUUCGUAAACUUCUUUUGCAGGGGAAUAAAGUGGAGGACGUGUCCUCUUUUGUAUGUACCCUGAGAAUAAGGAUCGGCUAACUCCGUGCCAGCAGCCGCGGUAAUACGGAGGAUCCGAGCGUUAUCCGGAUUUAUUGGGUUUAAAGGGUGCGUAGGUGGUUUAAUAAGUCAGCGGUGAAAGUUUGCAGCUUAACUGUAAAAAUGCCGUUGAAACUGUUAGACUUGAGUGUAAAUGAGGUAGGCGGAAUGCGUGGUGUAGCGGUGAAAUGCUUAGAUAUCACGCAGAACUCCGAUUGCGAAGGCAGCUUACCAAGCUACAACUGACGCUGAGACGCGAAAGCGUGGGGAGCAAACA